UACAUAGAAAAGGAUCCUGGUGUAGAAAGUAAUAUUAAAUAAAUUCUAACAACAGCUUAUCAAGCUUAAACGUGCUGCUGUUGUUCAGCCGCUGGUUUCCUCUUUCUGGUGCAAAGUGGGCCAAAAACAAAGAAGAGAGACGGACUCGCGACAGAAAAGCCGAUCAGCUGAUCAUUAAGCAGUUUCAUGAUUGAAGUAGCAGAGGGAGAGAGAGAGAGGAGUCGCUCCGUAUAUCGGUUGUUAAGCUUAACAUGGGAAUGCUUUACAACCAUUCAGAGAUGAACUUACACACUUGCUUUACUUCUCUCUGGGAUAACUUCCUCGGAGAUGAAAUGCUGGUUUGCUAGCGAGGCUACAAAUACACACAGCCGCUCUAUCAGAGAGCUUCCCUCGAUUGAAUGAAAGCACUGUAAAAUAGGAAGAAUGGAAGUAUGAAAAGAAAAAAAAAGAAGAAGAAGACACUGCUAGCAUAAUGGACAGGUUUUUGACGGGGCUCCCACACAAACGCAAAGCAGGAGAUGAAGCACCGCCGAAUAUUUUUCCAAACCAACUUUCUUCCAAGCCAAAGACUAGAAAAUAUGGUGAAGCAUAUCUUCCCUUAGGUGCCAAGGUGAUCCAGGUGAUUGAUAUAUGUAUUUUUUGUCUGUUUGUUUUUGUUUUUUUCCCCUUUAUCACCGUUCCUCUUCCCCGCUGUUUUUCUUUCCCUACUUUCUUUUUUUCUCCCUUUUCUUUCCCCCAGUCAUGUCUGUCCCCGUGUGUAGCAAGUGAAAAUAAAAUAAACAAUAAAAACAAUGGUCAACCAAAUGGACCAAUACGGCAAGGCCGGGAUGGUCCAUUUGGUAAAGUAAAUCCGUUGGGCAUCUUUCUUGGCCUUUAGACAAUAAUUCUGAUGGCAAAAGAACCAAACGGGACAGGCGAAAAAAAAAAAAAAAGUUCAGUUUACAAUCGGGUUCAUUCACUCGGUCAGCAAGUGGCGGUAUCCUCGUAAACUGGGGAGCAAACUGCCAUUAAACGAUUAGGAGAAGAAGAGAACAUCUGCACAUGCACGGUGUGGAUUGGGUAGACCCGAUUUGUACGGUCCCAACUUUGCACAUGCGCAGUAAGGACCGGGGAGUCCUGAUCCGUAACUAUCUUUUUUUUUUUUCGUUUUUGUCUUUAUUAUAUUGAAAUGUUUCAUUACUGCAAACAUUUUAAGAGAUACUUAUUAUUGUUUACAUCUUAACAGAUACUCUGACCCAUAGCUAUCGUUAAAUGCUUCGAGUGGAAGUAGUGGCCUUUUGCACAUGCGUGGCACCGAUCGGUGCGGAUCGGGUAGUGACACUUCCUCUCUGUCUCGUCUUGUCUGAUUAAUCUCAGCUGUGUUACCUGCCUGUCUGCCAUUUCCUCAUUACCCUGUGUGUAUAUAUAGUGUGUGCUUCCUUCUGUUCCUUGUCGGUCUGUCUGUGUGUCAUCCUUCAUGUUGCCUCUGCAUUUCCUCUGUCAGCUUUCCGUGUGUUUCCUGGUUUCUCAUUCCUUGCUUCUGGUCUCCAUCCUCAGGUUAUAUGUUUACACUUAGUUUUCCCCAGUCUAGGUUUUGGUUAGUUUUGUCUGUUCCUCCUGUUUGUAGUUUUUGUAAAGCCGACAGUAAAGGCUUGUUUUUUGUUAUCGGCCACACUCGUCUCCAUUUGCCUGCACUUGGGUUCUCAAUCUCCUUAGCCUCGCCGUCUGCCUCGCCAGACGUGACAAACCAUUUGUUUACAGCAUGUUUUAAGGACAAUAUACAUCCUCUAGUGGGGGAAUGUGUUUUAUAUGUGUAAAUUCUUAAGCUGUAUCUUAGCAAAACCACAGACUGACACAUGCAUUCAUUUGGUGACGCAGAAAAUUCACAGCACUUUUCUUGUUCCACAUUUUGUCAUGUUACAGGCUUAUUCCAAAAUAAAUUAAUUUUCACCUGAAAAUUCUACACACAAUACUCCAUAAUAACAAACUGAAAAGUUUGAAAUUAUUGCAAAUUUAUUUAAAAUAAAAAACUGAAAUAUAACAUGGACACAAGUAUUCAUGUUCAGGUGAAUCCUAUUUACACUGAUCAUCUGUCAGAUGCUUCUUCAACCUGUUUUAAGUCCACCUGUGAUAAAUUCAGCGGACAUGAUUUGGAAAGGCGCACACCUGUCUAUAUAAGGCCGCUUAGUUGACAGGUCAUAGCACAAAUCAAACCAUGAAGUCCAAGGAAUUGUAGACAGGAUUGUGUCAAGGUACAGAUCUGCAGAACACUACAGAAAAGAAAUCUGCAGAAUUAAAGGCUCCAAUGAGCACAGUGGCCUCUAUCAUUUAUAAAUGUGAGAAGUUUAGAACCACCAAGACUCUUCCAAGAGCUGGUCACCCACCAAUCUGACCAAUCGAGGUAGAAGGGCUUUAGUCAGGGAGAUGAUGAAGAAUGUGAUGGUUACUUGGACAGAGCUCCAGCAUUGCUCUGUGGAAAGACAGCCAUUUUUGCAGCAGUUAUGAUAGAAAAAUAAUUCCAUAGACAAGAAGGCCUGGCUCUCAGUCUUUGGUCUAAUUCAUCCUAAAGAUGAUGUGUCGAGUCAAGAUCAGGACUCUGUGCAGUUUUUCCAUGCCAAACUCGCUCAUCCAUGUCUUUAUGGAGAUAUAAAUAUUAGUGAUGCACAGUCCUGUUGGAACAGGAACGGGGCAUCCCCAAACAAUUCCCAAAAAGUUAGGAGCAUGAAAUUUUCCAAAAUGUCUUCAUAUGCUGAAGCAUUAAUAGUUCUUUUCUGUGAAAGAAGAGUUGAUCUGUGAAACAAUUCUUUUAGACAGGUGAGAUGCUACCAAAACCACCCCUUUCAUGUGAAUGUCGAGGGACAACCCUGGGUGGACCAAGGUGAUUUGAUGAUCAUCUUUGGCUACAUCCACACGUAGAGGGGUAUUUUUGAAAACGCAGAUUUUUCCCUGCGUUUGGGCCUUUCGUCUACAUGUAAACGGCGUUUUGGGUCACUGAAGAUGGAGAUUUUUAAAAACUCCUGCCAGGGUGGAGAUUUUCAAAAACUCUGUUUUUGCAUUUAGGUGUAGACGAGGAAAACAGAUUUACUCGUGCAACGUCUUAUUCUUCUUCUAAAUUUUAUUAGCAGACUCACGCAACGUCAAAGGGGUGCGCCAUUUUUGACAUCACGCUAUGCGCCACGUUAUUGUUUACAUGAGAUGAAUUUCCACAAUGGCAGAUAGAGACAAAAUACUGUUGCUGUUAAUCUUACUAUCUACAGUGUU